GUUCAUUCCGAUGAACGUAUAUUAAAAUUGGAACAAUACAAAGAAGAUUAGCAUAGCCCCUGCGCAAGGAUGACACGCAAAUUCGUGAAGCGUUCCAAAUUUUU
rnacentral:snRNA from 1 species